GAAAAGGGUGAAAAGUAAGUACCAUGAAGUAACUCACAUCAUGAGGGACCAACUGGCCGCUUGAGCGUAUAGAAACCUGAUUCCGGGAUCCCGCUGGGAAGGAGGAUUGGGGGUCUCCUGAGAGAAAGUGAUUUGGCCAAUGUAGAACUCCAGCCAGAGAGGCUGUAGGAAGGUUUAUCGACUCAGAACAAAGACCAGGGAAUGAUGUGCGAGGCCACAUGGCUUUAGAUUCUGGGAGAGGAGUGGGUGAGUCUCUCUUUUUAAUGACUUUUCCUGAUGUUUUUGUUUUUAAAGGCUGGCUUGGGAGCGUCUUCAAAGCAAAGGAAGACGAUCCCCAAGGCCAGUAGGUUUGUGUACGCCCAUCUGACCCCAGCCAUGUAGUGCCGGUGUUUUAUCUGAAGUGUGACUCUGGUAAGUAUUCUGGAAUUAUUGUCAAGAAAAAAGCUGGUUUCAAUGUGCAGUGCCACGCUGAUUCUGGGAUUGUGAUAGGAAUAAGCAUAGUGAAAGUGUUUUUUAGAAACCUGAGUUCCCCGGGGAAAAAUCAUGGCCAAAUUUUGAGGCAGCAUCUGUGCUCCCUUUUGGCUGGUACUGAGUUGGGUGCUCUAGGAUUGGUGGUGUCUUGUGUGAGGCUGCAUCAUGUGAUGUGAACGUGUGUGCUUCUGUGCAGGUGAGGCUGUGUGUUUUCUCAGGAGAGAUUUCCCAUUUACACAGCCCGUUCUCCGGUGUCUACUUUUAAAGAAUAAAAUCCAGCCCCACUCUACUCUGUCUGUACAGUGACUCCUCCACCCUCACAGAGCCAUCCCUGGGUCUGGUUUAUUAUCCUCACAGCUCAGGUGGAGAACCUGAAGGGCCAGGGGGUGGCCCCAGCUCCUGAGUUCCUGAAUGAAAAAGUGAAAACACAAACCCAGGAGUCUAGGCCAGUGCUGACACUGGCAACUACUGGCAUGCUCUCAGUCAUGGGGUGUUGACCACCAUGCAGGGAGUCCAGCAUUCGUGUUUAAGCCCUAAGGAAUUCCCAGACACUGCCCAUGGUUAUAAAGUGGCCUCCAUGGUCACACAACCCAGGGCAGUUACAUACAUCUCCCCACAGACCGGCAUAGUCAUCAGUGUGAAAAGCACAAAGAUGUUUGUUUGGGUCAGCUCACAGGUCGUUUUUUGUUUAAUUUUUAAGUUCAGGGGAACCUGUGCGGGAUGAGCAGGUUUGGUACAUGGGUAAACGUGCGUCAUGAAGCAUUUGUUGUGCAGGUGAUUUCAUCAUCCACGUAUUCAGCUUAAUAUCAGUUAUUUUCCUGAUCUUCCCCCUCCUCCCACCGUCCACCCUCCAGCAGGCCCCAAGCUCACAAAUUCUAAGAGGAGUGGGGGACCGCACAGGCCAGUGCGGCCCACUUCAGGUGUGAAGUUAAUUUGCUCAGCAGCUGGCCAAAGCACAUAAGGAUCCGUGAUGAUUUUUAGUAGAUGUAGUAAUAUCUUCCCAAGCCCUAAAAUGCUCAAACCCGGCCAGCUGAAAAUGGUGAGGGAGAGGGACAGGUAGGAACUCUGUGCAGCACUUGGUUUGUAGCCUGGUUUCCAUCCCCUCAUGGCAACUCUCUUGUGCAUGCGGGUUAAAGGCCUCAGCCUCAACCCAAGCCUCCUCCAUGAGGAGACUCCCACUAUUGGCCGGCUACUGCAGCACAUGAACACCAGCCAAAGUGAAACAAAAUGUUGCUUUAAAACAAGUUAUGUAUUCAUAAUGUCCACUCAUUGUUUGUAAU